rnacentral:rRNA from 1 species
AGAGUGAACGCUGGCGGUAGGCCUAACACAUGCAAGUCGAACGGCAGCACAGUGGUAGCAAUACCAUGGGUGGCGAGUGGCGGACGGGUGAGGAAUACAUCGGAAUCUACCUUUUCGUGGGGGAUAACGUUCGGAAACGGACGCUAAUACCGCAUACGUCCUACGGGAGAAAGUGGGGGAUCUUCGGACCUCACGCUAUCAGAUGAGCCUAGGUCGGAUUAGCUAGUGGUAGGUAAAGGCCUACAAGGCUACGAUCCGUAACUGGUCUGAGAGGAUGAUCAGUCACACUGGAACUGAGACACGGUCCAGACUCCGUACGGGAGCAGCAGGUGGGGAAUAGUUGGACAAGUGGGACGAAAGCCUGAUCCAGCCAUGCCGCGUGUGUGAAGAAGGUCUUCGGAUUAGUAAAGCUAACGUUUAAGGUGGGAAGGAAGGACUAAGUUAACCUAAGUACGUUAGUGUUUAGACGUUACGAC